rnacentral:rRNA from 1 species
CUACGUGCCAGCAGCCGCGGUAAUACGUAGGUGGCAAGCGUUGUCCGGAAUUAUUGGGCGUAAAGCGCGCGCAGGCGGAUUGGUCAGUCUGUCUUAAAAGUUCGGGGCUUAACCCCGUGAUGGGAUGGAAACUGCCAAUCUAGAGUAUCGGAGAGGAAAGUGGAAUUCCUAGUGUAGCGGUGAAAUGCGUAGAUAUUAGGAAGAACACCAGUGGCGAAGGCGACUUUCUGGACGAAAACUGACGCUGAGGCGCGAAAGCCGGGGGAGCGAACGGGAUUAGAUACCCCGGUAGUCCUGGCCGUAAACGAUGGGUACUAGGUGUAGGAGGUAUCGACCCCUUCUGUGCCGGAGUUAACGCAAUAAGUACCCCGCCUGGGGAGUACGACCGCAAGGUUGAAACUCAAAGGAAUUGACGGGGGCCCGCACAAGCGGUGGAGUAUGUGGUUUAAUUCGACGCAACGCGAAGAACCUUACCAGGUCUUGACAUUGAUGGACAGAACUAGAGAUAG